UGGGGGUGCUAAAGAAGCUACCACACUUCUCAAAAGGGAGUGAGGUUUUUUGCGAAAACCAGUGAACUAAUAUUGGUAAAAUUGGAGCCCCAUGGAUGAAGGGUACUUUCACCGAGAAUUUACCUUCUCCAGGCCCCACUCUGCACCUCAGAGUCAAGAGAGCUAGUCAAAGGUGGAAGAGAGCUACCUCAGAAGAUGCCAUCUGGAACCAGGUGUGCCCUAGAAUUGCUUUGAGCAUCAGGACUGCAAGGCUCUCAGCCCUCUGUGAGGUGCAGAUGACUGACAGGGAGGAAGUUGUUUUGGUUAAUAAUACAAUCUACUUGCCUCCUGUAGACACAGCAGUAGCUUACUAAUUCGUUAGAAGUGAUUUAAGGUUGUUUACUGAUGUUUUAAAGUAACUGUCAGAGUGAAAAAAAAAAGUUCACACUAAAUGAGACCACUCACCUACUUCAGAGUUGUUGUUUAUUUUAAGCUGAGUGUAUAAAUAAUAUAUUGAGAUCCGAAGGGUGAUUUCAAGCAUUAGAACGGGAAGCCUCCUGUUUACUAACUGUCAUUGGGCUGAAGAGAAUUUAAACAGCUCUGAACCUUUUUGUCUGUGGAUGCAAAGCAUGAAAUUAACUUUCAUUUCAUAGUUAGCAGAAAUCAUGAUGAGGUGUCUUGUUGUCCUGUCUCCUGCCCAUCUGGAUCUUUUUCUUUUUUCUAUGCAAGACAAGCCUUGGCAGCAGAAUGCCUUUUAUGUCUCCUUUCAAACAAGACCCCCUUACUUCUACCACAAAAUAAGCAGGGACCUGUCUGAACCAGUCAGUCAGCUUUCUCGGAUAGAAAGAGGCAGAGUGGAAAUAUGCUAGCCUGGCUUCCAGGGGUUCAAAUCCUGAGUGCUGGUGGGCCUGUCUGAACUCCCCUUCUCCAUUAGAAGGUUUGGAACAAUAGCAUCUACUCCCAUUGCUUUGUGGGAAGAUGGUGAAACUCCCAGGAGGUCGUUGUGAUAUGCCUUUAAGGGAUCGGGUGUCAUAGGUAAGUGACUUGGUAUCAAUUACUAAUACUGUUAAGGCUGGAUGCUAAAAUAUGGCUCAGUUUUAGGCGAAUUACAUGUACUGCCACAGGAACUGUUAAGAUCCAAAAAUCCUUCUGCCCCAAAGCCAAAGCACAGGCAAGUUACGUGGCUCGUCUCACCUGUACUGUGGUUAACUUCAAAUGUGAGGUCCUUAGGGUCCAGAGUCAGUGCCCUUUACUGUUACCUGUUGGGGAGGAAGGGCCGGUUUGGUUUUCCUCUGUGAGACUGUGCCUCUUACACACCAGGAAGUGAGACAUAUGUGCUAUCUAAAAGCCUGGACCACAUUCAGGCCGAGAAAAAUCCAAGGGCAGCUUCUUUAUCAUCGAGGAGGGCUCCCAUUGGAUAGGGAUGCAGCAGACUGUGUGGGUUAAUUAUGUUUUAUGUGUAAACAGCCUGAUGAUUCUUAGCUGAAAAGCUCUAAAUGAAAAGACCUAUUACUUGUAAUGAUUCCAGAAACAAGACAUUUGAUUCACUUUCUGUCCCCUUUAAACUCAAAAGUGUAAUAGCC